rnacentral:tRNA from 1 species
CGUAGCUUGGAUGAUAGAAGCGCCCGUCUAGUGAAUCGGGAGUCGUGGGUUCGAUUCCCACCG